UAUAAGUUAUCGUUUAUUUGAUAGUACCUUACUACUUGGAUAACCGUGGUAAUUCUAGAGCUAAUACAUGCUAAAAAUCCCGACUUCGGAAGGGAUGUAUUUAUUAGAUUAAAAACCAAUGCCCUUCGGGGCUCACUGGUGAUUCAUGAUAACUCCUCGAAUCGCAUGGCCUUGUGCCGGCGAUGGUUCAUUCAAAUUUCUUCCCUAUCAACUUUCGAUGUUUGGGUAUUGGCCAAACAUGGUUGCAACGGGUAACGGAGGGUUAGGGCUCGACCCCGGAGAAGGAGCCUGAGAAACGGCUACUACAUCCAAGGAAGGCAGCAGGGGCGCAAAUUACCCAAUCCCGACGCGGGGAGGUAGUGACAAUAAAUACUGAUACAGGGCUCUUUUGGGUCUUGUAAUUGGAAUGAGUACAAUUUAAAUCCCUUAACGAGGAACAAUUGGAGGGCAAGUCUGGUGCCAGCACCCGCGGUAAUUCCAGCUCCAAUAGCGUAUAUUAAAGUUGUUGUGGUUAAAAAGCUCGUAGUUGAACCUUGGGCCUGGCUGGCCGGUCCGCCUCACCGCGUGUACUGGUCCGGCCGGGCCUUUCCCUCUGUGGAACCCCAUGCCCUUCACUGGGUGUGGCGGGGAAACAGGACUUUUACUGUGAAAAAAUUAGAGUGCUCCAGGCAGGCCUAUGCUCGAAUACAUUAGCAUGGAAUAAUAGAAUAGGACGUGUGGUUCUAUUUUGUUGGUUUCUAGGACCGCCGUAAUGAUUAAUAGGGACAGUCGGGGGCAUCAGUAUUCAAUUGUCAGAGGUGAAAUUCUUGGAUUUAUUGAAGACUAACUACUGCGAAAGCAUUUGCCAAGGAUGUUUUCAUUAAUCAGGAACGAAAGUUAGGGGAUCGAAGACGAUCAGAUACCGUCGUAGUCUUAACCAUAAACUAUGCCGACUAGGGAUCGGACGGUGUUAUUUUUUGACCCGUUCGGCACCUUACGAGAAAUCAAAGUGCUUGGGCUCCAGGGGGAGUAUGGUCGCAAGGCUGAAACUUAAAGAAAUUGACGGAAGGGCACCACCAGGGGUGGAGCCUGCGGCUUAAUUUGACUCAACACGGGGAAACUCACCAGGUCCAGACACAAUGAGGAUUGACAGAUUGAGAGCUCUUUCUUGAUUUUGUGGGUGGUGGUGCAUGGCCGUUCUUAGUUGGUGGAGUGAUUUGUCUGCUUAAUUGCGAUAACGAACGAGACCUUAACCUGCUAAAUAGCCCGUAUUGCUUUGGCAGUA
rnacentral:rRNA from 1 species